AACAAGGCUAUAAAGAAUAAUCCAAGAAAACGUUAGGCAUAAAACAAGGUUCCAUCAACACAUGACAAAGUCAUACACCAAGGCUGCAAGAUAAUCCGGGAAAGCAAGAGCUGGCUUCUUGACUCAAAUGAGAAGUUGCUUUGACAAAGGUUCCUCUCUCAGCACACUCUUUUAAUACCCUUUGCACAGCAUGAAUGCAUUUCUUUGGCCUCUGACCUCCCUCUUGUUUGCUAUAACACUCCUGCGAAUCUUGAAUUCCAAACGGCCAGCUCGAUCCAAAGAUUCUGUUUCAUCAAGGCCAGACAGCUUGUUAGCAUUAGACUCUGUCUGCAUGCUAUCAGACUGGGAGCUGUCCUCCCUUUGCACCUGGCUAGCUUCAGUAUCAUCUUCAGAAUCAUCAACACCCUUCCCUGCCGUGGGAAAGCCUCCCUGCUCCUCAUCCGCCACAGCAGGAACACUCUGAACCUGAAUCCCAUAAUUCCCAUCAGAGUCAUUUUGAACCUGAAUCUCAUCAUCUUGGACCUGAAUCCCAUAAUCCCCAUCAGAGUCAUCUUGAACCUGAAUCUCAUCAUCUUGAACCUGAAUCUCAUCAUCUUGAACCUGAAUCCCAUCAUCUUGAACCUGAAUCUCAUCAUCUUGAACCUGAAUCUCAUCAUCUUGAACCUGAAUCCCAUAAUUCCCAUCAGAGUCAUCUUGAACCUGAAUCUCAUCAUCUUGGACCUGAAUCCCAUAAUCCCCAUCAGAGUCAUCUUGAACCUGAAGCUCAUCAUCUUAGACCUGAAUCCCAUAAUUCCCAUCAGAGUCAUUUUGAACCUGAAUCUCAUCAUCUUGGACCUGAAUCCCAUAAUUCCCAUCAGAGUCAUCUUGAACCUGAAUCUCAUCAUCUUGGACCUGAAUCCCAUAAUCCCCAUCAGAGUCAUCUUGAACCUGAAUCUCAUCAUCUUGGACCUGAAUCCCAUAAUCCCCAUCAGAGUCACUGUGAGGUUCUAGCUGAGUCACAACACCAGUCCAAAAUUCAAGUUUCUAACUUGACCAUUUUGUCCAUUGUUGGCACUCAACGAAACCUCAGAGAGGUCUUAUUUCAUGGACAAGAAGCAAAAGGCUAUUCCUACGGACAGUGAACUUCUGUAAGCACACCAUGUAGGGUUUUUUCAACAUCAUCACGGGUCAAAGGUUGUACACAGUGGACCACACCGGAGGUCAGAGAAACAAUGCCUUUCUUAUCUUUUCAGAGCUUGAUAGAUCCAGACUGUAGAAUGAUGUGCGGCGUUGACAAGAGAAGAACACCAGAAGGUCAUGUCACAACUGUUGGUUUUUUUUUUACUCCAAUUUUCCACACUGACCUUUUAAUUUCCUAUCUCUGUUCCACCAUGCUUAAAAAAACUCACAACAAUCUGUACUGGUCAGUCACUGUUAGAAAUAGCACAACAUGGUAGAGAGGCUUUUGGUCUAAGAUAGCAAGACUUUGUCUGGUUUCAUUUUGCAGCUUGUGGAUUUCUUCCCACCCCAAAUAUUGCCCAUAUUUAAUGGAUUCUUUCUUCAUUCAUUUCCUAUCUGGGUGAGUCCAGGACCAGCCUUUAAUUUUUAAUCCUUCAUCUCAGCAUACAUUUCUUAUGUUGUUCCUAGGGAACCAAUUACAUUCUCCCUAACAUCUCUCUCGCUCCUAUUUUUCAUCAUUAUGAGCCGAAAUAGGCUGAAAUAUAGAUGGCAGAAGGGCUGCGGUUUUUCUUUGGUUACUCACAUCUCAGAAGUCGGGGACUGAAAUAUUGGAUCCCUUCUGGACUUGGGUCUCUCUCUUUGUGACCUUACAGUGACCCCUUCAGUCCAUGUCUAUCACAAAGCUUCAAAUGCUUUGAACAGUCUGAAACAUACAUUACUAGCUUGCGGACCCAGCGGUGCCCGGGUUAUUUGGAAAAGUCAUUAUUUGUCUUUGAAUGUUGCAGUAUGUAUUCUCAGUUUGGAGUGGGUGAACUACAAUUCCCAGAAUUGUGGGUCAAUCCUUCCCAAACCCAGCCUCACAACCUCUGAGGGUACCUGCCACAGAUGUGGGUGAAACGUCAGGAGAGAAUGCUUCUGGAACAUGGCCAUACAGCCUGAGAAACAUAUAACAAUCCUUCUCUCCUAUUCCAUAGCAAGUUCUGGUCUACUGGGUUGUUCUAAGAGACAUUUGACCAUGCUGAUUGUUUUAGAAGAAAAAAAACUUUCCCAAAAU
ensembl:lncRNA